AUUGAACGCUGGCGGCAGGCCUAACACAUGCAAGUCGAGCGGAUGAGAAGAGCUUGCUCUUCGAUUCAGCGGCGGACGGGUGAGUAAUGCCUAGGAAUCUGCCUGUUAGUGGGGGAUAACUCGGGGAAACUCGGGCUAAUACCGCAUACGUCCUACGGGAGAAAGUGGGGGAUCUUCGGACCUCACGCUAACAGAUGAGCCUAGGUCGGAUUAGCUAGUAGGUGAGGUAAUGGCUCACCUAGGCGACGAUCCGUAACUGGUCUGAGAGGAUGAUCAGUCACACUGGAACUGAGACACGGUCCAGGCUCCUACGGGAGGCAGCAGUGGGGAAUAUUGGACAAUGGGCGAAAGCCUGAUCCAGCCAUGCCGCGUGUGUGAAGAAGGUCUUCGGAUUGUAAAGCACUUUAAGUUGGGAGGAAGGGUAUUCACCUAAUACGUGGGUACUUUGACGUUACCAACAGAAUAAGCACCGGCUAACUCUGUGCCAGCAGCCGCGGUAAGAC
rnacentral:rRNA from 1 species